GAUGAACGCUGGCGGCGUGCCUAAUACAUGCAAGUCGAGCGAACAGACGAGGAGCUUGCUCCUCUGACGUUAGCGGCGGACGGGUGAGUAAAACGUGGAUAACCUACCUAUAAGACUGGGAUAACUUCGGGAAACCGGAGCUAAUACCGGAUAACAUGUUGAACCGCAUGGUUCAACAGUGAAAGACGGUCUUGCUGUCACUUAUAGAUGGAUCCGCGCCGCAUUAGCUAGUUGGUAAGGUAACGGCUUACCAAGGCAACGAUGCGUAGCCGACCUGAGAGGGUGAUCGGCCACACUGGAACUGAGACACGGUCCAGACUCCUACGGGAGGCAGCAGUAGGGAAUCUUCCGCAAUGGGCGAAAGCCUGACGGAGCAACGCCGCGUGAGUGACGAAGGUCUUCGGAUCGUAAAACUCUGUUAUUAGGGAAGAACAAAUGUGUAAGUAACUAUGCACGUCUUGACGGUACCUAAUCAGAAAGCCACGGCUAACUACGUG
rnacentral:rRNA from 1 species